UAAAAGACUAUCCAUAUCCUAUGGACCUAACCCUUCUAUGGGAUUCUGUGUCAGAAAGCGUGAAUAUUUAUUUCAUUCCAUUAAAAAAAAGAAGCUAAUUCUGUUUAUAAUACGAAAAAAGAAGCAGAUCUAUUCUAUACUCGAUAAGUGCCAAUAUGCAAUGGGUAACUUGGCCGAUUUGGAAAAAACCAAGAAUAGAUCCCUACCCCUCUUUGGUUAUGAUUCGAAUCACCGAUUCCUUUUUUCUUUAUUCAAUCUGUGUUAUCUUCUUUAUAUGUAUAACCUUUCAAUCUAUGUAUUAUUUCAAUCUACGUAUUAAUAGAAUAUAUAGUAUUCAUAUAGAAUAAGAAUAAAAAUGAAGACAAUAAAUCGGAGAUUCUUUCUUUCUCUUCCAUUCUUACGUUUCCAUAUUAAAGUAUAGUUUUCUUACUUAAAUUUAAUAAUAUUAAUCUAAUAUGCCCAUUGGUGUUCCAAAAGUACCUUACCAGAUUCCCGGAGAUGAAGAAGCGACUUGGGUUGACUUAUACAAUGUUAUGUAUCGAGAAAGGACACUUUUUUUAGGUCAAGAGAUUCGUUGCGAGAUCACGAAUCAUAUUACAGGUCUCAUGGUAUAUCUCAGUAUAGAAGAUGGAAUUAGUGAUAUUUUUUUGUUUAUAAACUCCCCAGGCGGAUGGCUAAUCUCAGGAAUGGCUAUUUUUGAUACGAUGCAAACGGUGACACCGGAUAUAUAUACAAUAUGCCUCGGAAUAGCUGCGUCCAUGGCGUCCUUCAUUCUGCUUGGAGGAGAACCCACCAAGCGUAUAGCAUUCCCUCACGCGAGGAUUAUGCUUCACCAACCUGCUAGUGCUUAUUAUCGAGCAAGGACACCAGAAUUUUUACUAGAAGUGGAAGAGUUACACAAAGUUCGCGAAAUGAUCACAAGGGUUUAUGCACUAAGAACAGGCAAGCCUUUUUGGGUUGUAUCCGAAGACAUGGAAAGGGAUGUUUUUAUGUCAGCAGACGAAGCCAAAGCUUAUGGGCUUGUCGAUAUUGUAGGGGAUGAAAUGAUUCACGAGCACUGCGAUACUGAUCCAGUGUGGUUUCCAGAAAUGUUUAAGGAUUGGUAGUGCCCGGAUUUCUUGUAAAGUUAUUUCACACCUAAAUUCGGGUUUUCUUCGAUUUAAUAGAAAAUAGAAAGACUUCAUGAUGAUCAAUCAUCAGGUUAAGAUGGAUCUAAACCAAUCUACUUUUUUCUAUAUACAUACAACAUGCCAACGGUUAAACAACUUAUUAGAAACGCAAGACAGCCAAUACGAACUGCUAGAAAAACAGCCGCGCUUAAAGGAUGUCCUCAGCGUCGAGGAACAUGUGCUAGGGUGUAUGUGCGACUCGUUCAGAUCAUGACUUCAAAAAAAUAAAAAAAAUUUGAAGUAGCCAUGAUUGGUACCAAUGAAUAGGAUAUAGCUUCUCUAUCCUAGAUUUCUAUGAUAUAUGGAAUUUGUGGUUUCCUUUGGUGCAAAUCCAGUUAUCUAAAUUGGAAAUAAGAAGCAAUUCCUCCAUUGGUAGCAAAUAGUUAUCCAUUAAGCGGAGGAAAAAGUAAUAAAAAGAAAAAGGCUUAUGUUCCUUUAUCUUAAAAGAACGGACUAACAGGGUCAGCUACUUAGCUAACUUUCAUAAUUAAAUGCCGUCACUGUAUGGAUAACUCUUAUUUUGAAAAGAGCUAUUUACUCUAUAAUGGAUAGGUAGAGCCAAAGAAUGUGAACUAUACAAGUUCACAAUACCUUUUGAUAAAAGAAGGGGCUCCGGUGUAUAGAGAGGGCCUCGCCGUUUAAAAGGGAACCAUAGAAACGAUGGAACCCACUAUUUUUAUAGUAUCAUUAGAAUUAAUUUGUUAUUUCGCAUAGAAAUAACUGAAGGGAGUAGAAAAAAAAUCGUGGUUGGGAAGGUUACUAUAGCAAAAGCCAUUAGAAUUAAUAUUUUAUAUAUCGGAAUAAUUCGUUUUGUUAUUAAUGGGGAAAAGGAUGGCUAAAAGAAGAGAAAUCAUUAGUUAUUCAUUAAGGUUAAUUUGAUUCAAUGACCAGAGUUCCGCGAGGAUAUAUAGCCCGGAGACGACGAACAAAAAUGCGUUCAUUUACCUCAAAUUUUAGAGGGGCUCAUUUAAGACUUAAUCGAAUGAUUACCCAACAGGUAAAAAGAGCUUUUGUUUCCUCUCAUCGAGAUAGAGGUAGGCAAAAGAGGGAUUUUCGCCGUUUGUGGAUCACUCGGAUAAACGCAGCAACGCGGAUAUUUAAAGUAUUCGAUAGUUAUAGUAAAUUAAUACACAACCUAUAUAAGAAGAAAUUGAUUCUUAACCGUAAAAUGCUUGCACAAGUCGCUGUAUCAAAUCCAAAUAACCUUUACACGAUUUCCAAGAAAAUCAAGAUCAUCAAUUAAAAGGAUAAAUAAAGUAAUAUACUGGAAUAAUAAAAACCGAAUUCCCGGAGAGGGGACUCCGGGAAGACACAAUAAUUUAAGAUUAAGUGGUAGGAAUCAACGAGCUGGAUUACUUUCUUUAUAAUAUAUAUAGGCCUGGCCCUUUCGAAUAAAACAUCAACAAUCGGAACUUUGUUUCUUAAAUUUUGGUUAUAGUUUCUUACGUUUCGAUUGGAACUGUACUUUUGCGUUAAUUGAGGAAUAUGUCUAUUUUUUCUGGGUCUAGAACCUGUAAUUAUUGAAAUUGACUGGGCUUGAAAUUGCUUUUCGUUCUCAUAGUUACGAAAUGGUAAGAAAGAUAAAAUACGAGCCUGUUUUAUAGCAAGAGUAAUUAAUCGUUGUUGUUUCAAGGUUAAUCGAUUUAUUCGUCUCGAUAAUAUUUUUCCCUGUUCACUAAUAAAUCGAUUAAUCAAACUCAUGUUUCUAUAAUCAAUUCGAUCUCCCGGGCCAAUCCGAGGACGCCUACGAAAAGGUUGUUUGGAUUUACGAAAAGUUUGCUUGGAUUUACAAAAGGGUUGCUUGGAUUUAUUAAAAGUUUGCUUGGAUUUACGAAAGGGUUGCUUAGAUUUAAGAAAAGGUUGUUUAGAUGUAUACAUGAUUUAUUCCUUAUUUAAAAUUUUAAAAUUAAUAAAAGAAAUUUCAUUUCUUUAUUUUAUUAAUUUAGGAUCGAGAAGAAGUAGUCUUUCUUUGAUCCAUAUCUUAAUCUUAUUUGAUUCAUAUUCUUAAUCUUAUUUGAUUCAUAUUAUAGUAUAUGAAUACCCUCUAGACAUAUGAAAUAAUAUCUACCUAAAAUAAUAUGAGUUGAUUUUUAUUUUGUAUUGUAUCUAUGUUUUAUUUAUAUAUUAAAUAAAAUAGUAAGUUCUUACUCUUUCUGUUCUUUGGAAAGAUCGAACACACGAUCUUCCUAUUUCUUUAUUUCGUGAUGAGUCGUGUGCUUGCGACAAUAACGACAAAAAAUUUUGAAUUCUAAUUGUCCGGGUGUAUUGUGGCGAUUCUUUUCAGUACUAUAUCUAGAAAUUCCCGUCGAUUCCUAAUUGGCACCUUUUCGAACACAACUGAUGCAUUCCAAAAUAACUCUGAUUCUAACAUCUUUCCCCUUGGCCAUGAACCUUCUUUUCUUUUUGGUUGGAUUGACUUAACUUAAUUCUUCUACUUAUUUAUUCUUUUAUUCUUCUAUUUUGAAUCCGAAGAAGAAGAAUAAAAUCCAUUAGAAUAUAAUUUUUUUGAAAUUCUUAAAUUAAGUAAUAAAAAAUAGAGAAAUAAUUAAAGAAUACAAUCCUUGUCGAAUUAGCAAAGAUUUUGUUUCGAAAUCCUUUCAUUUAAUUAGUCAGCCGGGCCUUUUUCUAUGCUCUGAUUUCUUUGGAUAUCGCUUUUAAUUGAAUUUCCGUUUUCCAAAAUGGGAUUUACCAAAAAUUUUCAUGACUCUGAGGUUCAGCCCAAUCCAGCAUUUCGUUCUUUUUCCUUCCGAUACUAAAAAAGGAUUGAAAAGGGUAAAAAUUUCUUCAUGUCAUGAAGAAUUCGAUUUCUCGCAUAGCAAUAACUAGAAUUAAAAAAAAGGGAACGACAAAGCAUCUGGGAAUAAACGAUUAAUUUCUAUCAAUAAACCUGCUAAAGCAGCAAACCAUAGAGUACUUAGCACAGGUGCUACAGAGAGAUAUGUUUUUAUAUUCCGCAUUGAAAAUCCUCCUUCCUUAUUGGAAUACGUAUAUGAUCAGAAACUCUUGCCCAAGAACGUUAUGCUAUAUAUAAAAUGAACCAUAUAGACGAAAUUUCCCUAUCCCUAAAAAAGAAAAAGAUGACACCCUUCUUCCUACACAUUACCAUAGUAAUCUUUCUUUUAUAGGAAAAAUUCGAUUGGAUUUUAAAUGUAUAUCAUUCCUUGAUUAUAUGAGAUGAGACCAAAAAGAAGAAAUGACGGGAGGGUUCUAUAUAGAUAGAGAAAGAAGAAGAAAAUUACGAUAUGGAAAAGAAGACAGGAAUUGUGUACAAUGGCAUUGUACAACAAUUUGGAAAAGGGAUGUAGCGCAGCUUGGUAGCGCGUUUGUUUUGGGUACAAAAUGUCACAGGUUCAAAUCCUGUCAUCCCUACCUAUUACUUAUUUCUUCUUUAUGGGCAGUAGCGAAGAGAUUGAUUAAAGGUAAAGUGGGUAUAACUUGAAUUUGUGCAGACUAUACGUACGUGAGAUACGUUAGGAGUUGAAAAGAAUUUUCUUUUUGAAUGAAUGACAGUGCUCUUAGUUCAGUUCGGUAGAACGCGGGUCUCCAAAACCCGAUGUCGUAGGUUCAAAUCCUACAGAGCGUGAUUCCAUCUAUCUUAUGUCGAACCAGAGUAAAGUAACUUAACAAAAGAAAGUUGAAUUGCAACUCCAAUUUACUUUAUUUUUAUUCCAUAUGGAAUACAAUCAGUUAAAAUAAGAAAGAAACCUCUUCCUUAAAUUUACUUUAUUUUUAUUCCUUUUUCGAAAACGAGUCGCUUCAAUUAUCCUUUGAAGUUCUAUCUUCUGUCUUUCCCUAUUUCAUCUCGUAAAGUUCCACGCUCGCAAUUUAGUCAAGAAAGUUAGACCUAAUCCAACAAACAAGACAAGGAUUAAUCACAAAUCUUGAUUCUUCAAAUAAUGUUUUCUUUCUUUCAUAACAGAUUAUCCACUAUUCGAUUUUCUAUUUAUUAGAUAUUAUGUUAACCAAUUAAAUUAUUUAUAAAUUAUUUAAAAGGAAAGAUUGGAUUCGAAGAAAACUUUUCACCAAAAAAGGAUAGAUUUCACAUAUACUUGUCCUUGUAUUGUGUAAGUAUGAGAAUAUCUUUCCUAAAUUCUUUAUCCAAAGCUAUUGAUCAUUAACUUCAACUUCUAUUUUCCCAAGAUUUUGGCCGCUAUUCCGAAUUCUUCUACUAUUCCGAAGCCAAUGAAAAUAAGUAGGACUCCAAAAAAGUGGGUUUUCUAUUGAUGCCUUGAACAACAUAUAGCUUACCUAUAGACAAAGAACAAAGAAGAUAAAAAAGGAAUUAUGUUUCGGAACCAAGCAAAACUGGAUUGCUGUGCCAUAGGAAGGAUAGCUAUACUAAUUCGGUAUACUCAAAAUACACCUUUGGUACAAAAUUGACAAUCUCACAAGGAUGAAAUACCAGUAAUUUUUUAUUUACUGGUUGAUCCCAUCUUUUACAGAAUCAAUUCCUUUUUUGAAUGUACAAAAAUUUGGGGAGCUCAGCAUGUCUGGAAGCACGGGAGAACGUUCUUUUGCUGAUAUUAUUACCAGUAUUCGAUACUGGGUUAUUCAUAGCAUUACUAUACCUUCCCUAUUCAUUGCGGGUUGGUUAUUUGUCAGUACGGGUUUAGCUUAUGACGUGUUUGGAAGUCCUCGGCCAAACGAGUAUUUCACGGAAAGCCGACAAGGAAUUCCUUUAAUAACCGACCGUUUUGAUUCUUUAGAACAACUCGAUGAAUUUAGUAGAUCUUUUUAGGAGGCCCUCAAUGACCAUAGAUCGAACCUAUCCUAUUUUUACAGUGCGAUGGCUGGCUAUUCACGGACUAGCUGUACCUACUGUUUUUUUCUUGGGAUCAAUAUCAGCAAUGCAGUUCAUCCAACGAUAAACUAAAUUCCAACUAUAGAACUAUGACACAAUCAAACCCGAAUGAACAAAAUGUUGAAUUGAAUCGUACCAGUCUAUACUGGGGUUUAUUACUCAUUUUUGUACUUGCUGUUUUGUUUUCCAAUUACUUCUUCAAUUGAGAGAAAAGAAGAGAGUAGUAAGAACUCUCUUAUCCCAUUUGGAAGGAUACCAUCCUUAUAACAUAACUAUCCAUGACUGUUUUUGUCUCUAGCAUGACCACUUGAUAAAAUGUGGAGGAAAGUAGGGGAAAUGGCCGAUACUACUGGAAGAAUUCCUCUUUGGCUGAUAGGUACGGUGACUGGUAUUCCUGUGAUUGGUUUAGUAGGUGUUUUCUUUUAUGGUUCAUAUUCUGGAUUGGGUUCAUCUCUAUAGUAAUCGGAGGGAUCGGAUUGGAAACAUGAAAAAGUAGGAGCUUAGCGGGUCCUUACCCCCCCUUUUUUUUAUCUGAUUAGAGCGGAAAGGACCCGCGGAAUUCUUACUCUUAUAACGCGACUUUAAUCUAUUCGAUUCACUCUUAUGAAGCAAUAAGAAAAAGAGAUCAAUCGAGGAUCCAUUACAAUAUUUUAUUCCACGAAGGGAGUCUCCUGGAAAUCAUUGAUUUAGCUUAGAGUAAUAAACUAAUAAAACCUUAAUCAAAACUACUCAACUAGCCUAAAAAAAACCACCCUUCAACGGAAAAGUUUACGUUUUUUUUGCAAAAUUUCUGUAAGUUCUAAAUUGAACUUAAUCGAACAACUCAAGCAAUUCUAUUUGCUCACAAUCACAAUAAAUUUGUCCCCCGCCAUAUUCCCUUCCCCUCUGUUUGUGCACUACCUCCCCUGAACCUAAGCAAAAGAGGGCCAAGAGACAGACCCGAAUAAAGAAGAAAUUGUAACCUUUGACGAAUAGAAAGAAAAAGGAUUCUUAUUUCGAGACAAGAAAAGAAGAAUCGGCACAAGAAAAAGGCCUUUUUGUCUUUUUCUUGUGCCGAAUAGACGAUUAACAAGACCAGCAAUCCCUUCGAAAAGGGAGAAAUCCUUUUAUUGUUCUCGCCUUUGCCUUGGAUUCUCUUCUUUUGCAUGAGAUAGAAAUAAGGAAUUCCAGACAUCUCGCAAACAAAAAAAAGUCUAAACAAAAAAAGGAUUUCCAAAAUAGAUCAUAGAUAAUUCUAACAAUUGCCAAUAAAUCCCGGCUUUUUACCAAGUUGAUGGUAAGAAAUCCCGGGACCUAGAAAUUCAUUUCGUACAAUUGAACCUUUUCAAACUAUUUCUUUUUGAGAACCAAAAAAACUUGUGCCAAAAUAACGGAUGCGAAGAAGAACAAAAGGCCUUGGACGCGUAAUGGAUCCUGAAGCACUAUUUCUGCAUCCCCCUGACCAAAUCCUCCCACAUUGGGAUUACUUGUUAAUGGUUGAUCAAGCUUGAUGGAUUCCCCCUCUGAAACAAGAAGAUCUGGCCUGGGAGGUAUAAUAUCAAUCAAUUGGCGUCCAUCCGAUGCAUCCACUAUGGAUAUUUCAUACCCCCCUUUUUCUUUACGUAGUAUUUUUUUUACUAUACCUGUUGACGUAGCAUUAUAGACCGUAUUGUUACUCUUGCUACCAUCAGGAUAGAUCUGCCCUCUUCCUCGGUUUCCCCCUACAUAUAUGGGAUAUUUUAAGAAAUGACAGAAAAAAAAAAUAGGCGAGAAAAGAAAAACCCGAGAGAAGCAAAAGUAACUUUCGAAGGUUUAGUUACGGAAGCCCUACCCAACGGAAUGUUCCGCGUUCGUCUAGAGAAUGACACCAUCAUCCUGGGCUAUAUUUCAGGAAAGAUUCGGUCUAGUUCUAUACGAAUACUGAUGGGGGAUAGGGUCAAAAUUGAAGUAAGUCGUUAUGAUUCAAGCAAGGGACGUAUCAUUUAUAGACUUCCCCAUAAGGAUUCGAAGCGUAUCGAAGACUCGAAGGAUAGCGAAGAUUUGAAGGAUUAGGUUUUUCUUUUUUCUAGAAUAAUAAAUGCAAAGUUCAAAAAUUACAGCGAAGAGACUUAUUUUUUCCAAAAGAUUAGAUUCAUGGUUUAAGAAAGGAUACGGAAAUAUGAAAAUAAGAGCUUCCGUUCGUAAAAUUUGUACAAAAUGUCGACUGAUUCGUAGGCGUGGCCGAAUUAGAGUCAUUUGCUCCAACCCGAAACAUAAACAAAGACAGGGAUAAUCUUUCGAAAAAGCACUUUACUUUCUAAAAAGUAAAAAAAAAGAAUACCUGCGGGAAUGUUUAAAUUAAUAAUAAAAUAAUUUGAAAUAAUUAAAGUAAAGGGUAUAUUUUACCCUGAAACGGAUAUCUUUGUAUCUUUUUUUUAUUUUUUUUACUCAUAUUUAUGAGAUUUAUGAGAUAAUAAAAUAUGGCAAAAGCUGUACCAAAAAUAGAAUUUGAUAGUAAUAGAAAUCCAUGUCCUACCGAGACAGAAUUUCGAACUUGCUAUCCUCUUGCCUAAUAGGCAAAGAUUGACCUCUGUAGAAAGACUGAUUCAUUCGGAUCGGAUCGAUAUGAGGACC
rnacentral:lncRNA from 1 species